rnacentral:rRNA from 1 species
CCUACGGGAGGCAGCAGUGGGGAAUAUUGCACAAUGGGGGAAACCCUGAUGCAGCGACGCCGCGUGAGUGAAGAAGUAUCUCUGUAUGUAAAGCUCUAUCAGCAGGGGAGAAAAUGACUGUACCUGACUAAGAAUCCCCGGCUAACUACGUGCCAGCAGCCGCGGUAAUACGUAGGGGGCCAGCGUUAUCCGGAUUUACUGGGUGUAAAGGGAGCGUAGACGGCAGAGCAAGUCUGAAGUGAAAGCCCGCGGCCCAACUGCGGAACUGCUGUGGAAACUGGCAGGCUAGAGUGCAGUAGAGGUAAGCGGAAUUCGUAGUGUAGCGGUGAAAUGCGUAGAUAUUAGGAGGAACACCAGUGGCGAAGGCGGCUCACUGGACAGUAACUGACGUUGAGGCUCGAAAGCGUGGGGAGCAAACAGGAUUAGAUACCCUGGUAGUC